CCGCUGCGCCUGCGCCGUGUCCGCCCGGCCCCUGGCCUCCCACGAGGAGGGUCCUCGGUUCGGUUGGAGCGGCGGGGGCGUCUCUGGUGCCCCCGAUUCCGGACCCGCGGGGGUGCCGUCUCCACCGCCCGGCCGACCCCCGAAUCCCAGAGCCUAGCUCCUCCAGCGUGAGGGCGCGUGGGGAUCCGCCGCCUGCGGGCCGGAGGAGCGACGCCAACACCGGGCACAGCAGGCCCAGUGUGGGGCCUGGACAGCCUGCCCCUCCAGCUGCCUCCCGCCCCGGGGCAGGGGCACCGAGGGGCCAGCUUGGCCCUCCCGCCAGCCCCUCCCAGGCAGGCCAGGCCGGUCCCCACCUGGCCCCACCCCAGGCUCAUGACACCCACCUUGGUGAGUCAGCUUGACUCCAGCCUCCCCAGCGCCAUCAUCAGAUGCCUGAACCUCACCGCGCUCCCCAGUCUCCCUCCCCGCUCACGUUUCUCUACCCUGUGACCUCCUUGGGCCCUGUCCUGUUUGCAUGAGUCGCCCGCUCUCCCUGGUCCUUCCCAGCCUAGCUAUUGAAGUUUUAAUUCUGAAAAUUACCAGAUGAGAUCAUACCUGACCUCUGGGCUGCAGCCUCCUGUCCCCUCCCUUCCCCUGAGCCAGCAAUGCAGUGUGCAUGCGAUGCAGUCAGACUGCCCAGCUCUGGACAGACACCUACCUGAUGACCCUGCGAGAACGUGACCAGAUGCCAGCUCUUCUGCCUCGACGUCACCCCGGGGACAAUGUCGAUCCCAGGCACUCCUGCUGCGUACCCACUGCGUGGACCCCCCUCAUCCAUUGUCCUUGCCGUGCUCGUAGUCCAGGCAACUGGGAAGGGGUGUGCACGUCCUGAUGCCCAGAGCCUGUGAAUCUGGGGCCUUACGAGGCACAAGGGACUUUACAGACACGAUUACAUUCAGGCUUUUGAGAUGGGGAGAUAGUCCUGGAUCAUGCUGUUGAGGCCGACGUCCUUACAAGUAGGAAGCAGGAGGGUCGGAGUCUGAGGAAAUGGAGAGACAGAAGCAGAGGCCAGAAUGACGCAGGGCUAUAAACCCAGGGAUGUGGGCAGCCUCUCGAAGCUGAAUGGGAACAGGAAGUUGGACCUCCCCUGAACCCCCCAGGAGGACCGCAGUCCCACCGAGGCCUGGAACCAUUAGGGAAUAAAUGCAGGUUGGUUUAA